UUUGAGGUCUAUCCCGAUAGACCCUUGCCUGUAGGGUGUUGUCGUUGGAAACGCCUCAGACAGCAACUCUGUAGUUUGCUUUACCCUCCUGCUCACUGCCAUGAGCUUGGUGGGAUAUUGCUGCAGAACACAU